GACGAACGCUGGCGGCGUGCCUAAUACAUGCAAGUCGAGCGGAACUGGGGGAGCUUGCUCCUUCCAGUUUAGCGGCGGACGGGUGAGUAACACGUGGGCAACCUGCCCUGCAGAUCGGGAUAACUCCGGGAAACCGGUGCUAAUACCGAAUAGUUUGGCGCCUCUCCUGAGGCGCUACGGAAAGACGGUUUCGGCUGUCACUGCAGGAUGGGCCCGCGGCGCAUUAGCUAGUUGGUGGGGUAACGGCCCACCAAGGCGACGAUGCGUAGCCGACCUGAGAGGGUGACCGGCCACACGGGGACUGAGACACGGCCCAGACUCCGACGGGAGGCAGCAGUAGGGAAUCUUCCGCAAUGGACGCAAGUCUGACGGAGCAACGCCGCGUGAGUGACGAAGGUUUUCGGAUCGUAAAACUCUGUUGUGAGGGAAGAACACGUACCAACUAACUAUUGGUACCUUGACGGUACCUCGCCAGAAAGCCACGGCUAGCUACGUGCCAGCCGCCGCCGUAA
rnacentral:rRNA from 1 species